UGAGUAACACGUGGGUAAUCUACCUUCUGGUGGGGAAUAACCGAGGGAAUCUUUGGCUAAUACCGCAUAAGCCUGAGAAGGGAAAGUCGCAAGACGCCGGAAGAGGAGCCCGCGGCCGAUUAGCUAGUUGGUGAGGUAAAGGCUCACCAAGGCAGAGAUCGGUAGCCGGCCUGAGAGGGCACACGGCCACACUGGCACUGAAACACGGGCCAGACUCCUACGGGAGGCAGCAGUGGGGAAUCUUGCACAAUGGGGGAAACCCUGAUGCAGCGACGCCGCGUGAGCGAUGAAGCCCUUCGGGGUGUAAAGCUCUUUCGUCAGGGAAGAUGGUGACGGUACCUGGAGAAGCAGCUGCGGCUAACUACGUGCCAGCAGCCGCGGUAAUACGUAGGCAGCAAGCGUUGUUCGGAGUUACUGGGCGUAAAGGGUGUGUAGGCGGUUCUUUAAGUUUGGUGUGAAAUCUCCCGGCUCAACUGGGAGGGUGCGCCGAAUACUGAGGGACUAGAGUACGGGAGAGGAAAGUGGAAUUCCUGGUGUAGCGGUGAAAUGCGUAGAUAUCAGGAGGAACACCGGUGGUGUAGACGGCUUUCUGGACCGACACUGACGCUGAGACACGAAAGCGUGGGUAGCAAACAGGAUUAGAUACCCUGGUAGUCCACGCCCUAAACGAUGCAUAUUUGGUGUGGGCAGUUCAUUCUGUCCGUGCCGGAGCUAACGCGUUAAAUAUGCCGCCUGGGGAGUACAGU
rnacentral:rRNA from 1 species